UAACAUGAGUGCAUCCUGUGGUAGCAGCA
rnacentral:piRNA from 1 species